rnacentral:rRNA from 1 species
GACGAACCGUGCAAACGUUGUUCGGAAUCACUGGGCUUAAAGGGCGCGUAGGCGGGUUGCCAAGUCCGGGGUGAAAGCCCCCAGCUCAACUGGGGAAGGGCCUUGGAUACUGGUGAUCUCGAGGGAGGUAGGGGCAUGCGGAACUUCCGGUGGAGCGGUGAAAUGCGUAGAUAUCGGGAGGAACACCUGAGGCGAAGGCGGGCUACUGGGCCGAUACUGACGCUGAUGCGCGAAAGCCAGGGGAGCAAACGGG